rnacentral:lncRNA from 1 species
AAAAUCUAAGAAAUUGUUAAAAUAAGAUAAUUAAGAAAAAAAAAUCAAAGAUAAUGCAAAGAAUUGACGAAACUUAUACUAAAAAACAUUGAAUGGAUCUCCAAACACGAAAGGGAUUCAUCAUAGAACCUGCACAUAACAAAGCAGUGUACAUCAUUCGAAGAGAGGAGCGGAAACCCAUUGAUUUGCCUUAAGCAAGCUUUGACAUACUGAUACGAGCAUGGAACCAAAUGACAACCUUGAAGCCGAG